UUUUCGUUUAUAGGGUAAUUGAUCAGAUUUUCGGGGUUUUUUUUCGAUUGUUACUGAUUAUUUGAGUCUAGAUUGAUUAGCUUAUUUGUGCUUAAUGUCUGUGAAGAUGUCUUAAAUGAAGAGAAAUGGGAAGAUAAAAAUGUUGAGGUGUUUUGAGGGAAUUUUCAACUAUUCACUGAGAUUGAGAUUCAAGGCUUUGACGCACCAAAGCCCUGCAUAUCUUUAUUAUCCUUGGUGAUACCUUUAGCAAUUGACUGUUCAAAAACAUUGAAAAUAUUGACUGCUGCCAUUUUGUUGUGAAUUCUGAUUGGAUGUGUAAGUAUUGAUUCCGAUUGAGAAGCCGACUAGGUUCACAGGAGCUGAUCCUUAUAAAUUUUUCUUUCUAUAGGGUCUGACAUAUGUUGGGGCUUCUGCAAGACUUCUAUAUUGUUGGUAUUAGUAAUUUUCUUUCAAUUAACUUCUAUACGAUUUGUUUGUUUCCUGGUUUUCGUAGUAUAUAUCUUUUCUCAUUGCUACAGACUUUAUAAUAAUUUCUGAAAUAAGUGUGUUUACAAUUUUUCUUUUUCCAAGGAUAAUUUGUAAUUUCGACACCAAUUGAGAUUGAACUAGAACGAAAUAAAAAUAGGAGAAACCAUUAUGCAGCUUUGUCGGAAGAGAGAAAAAAAUGAAAUAAGAAGAAAACAAAGAGAAGCUUAUUAUAACAAAAACAAAAACAUAAGAAAAAAGAUCAAGAAAAAGAAAGCAUAAUGUUUAAUGAGCACACAGAAUGCCACCAGAUAAAUAGAGUAAGAAAAUGAAAAUAUGACAAAGACAACACUCAUAUAUUAGAUGCUAUCUUCUUGCACCUAUUUGUAAACCUGUUGCACAGGGUUUAUAUUUACAUAUAGGGUUUAUUUUUAUAUGCGGCUCACUGUUCUAAGAUAAAACUAUAUGUAUUUGAACUAUUCCAAAUAUAUUCAUUCACAUGAAGAGAACAACUUCCAUUUGAACUUCUAAGAUAAAACUAUAUGUAUUUGAACUAUAAAUUUUGUUGAAGUAAUUUAUAGGUUGAGUGAUCGACCUCAUUUACAUGCAGUAUGUGCCGUUGUGUGAUUAGUUAAAUUUUGUUCAAGAAUACGAUCAGUUGGUGUCUCAAUGUGCACCGGAUGACAUCCUAAAAAUGAGAAGCUUAUUUGACCGGGCUCUUACUGCUGUUGGAGUGCAUGUGGUUGAAGUCGGCAAGAUAUGGGAAGCAUACAGAGAGUAUGAACAAGCGAUCUUUUUGACAAUUGGUGAUGACAAUAAUGAGGAAAAACCAAAACAGAUUGAUCGGAUACGUACUUUAUUCCAUCAACAACUAUCUAUUCCCUUAGUGAAUUUAGAAUCAAAUUAGUUAAUUACAGGCUUUGGGAGGUGGAACAAGGGAACACUGGCGAUAUGAACUCAGGAAUUGGAUGGGGUCCCUGCUAAUGUUGUCUUUGCAUAUAAAAAUGCUUUGGAAAUGU